rnacentral:rRNA from 1 species
CGGCGAGUGAAGCGGCAACAGCUCAAAUUUGAAAUCUGGCCCUAGGCCCGAGUUGUAAUUUGCAGAGGAUGCUUUUGGUGAGGUGCCUUCCAAGUUCCCUAGAACGGGACGCCAGAGAGGGUGAGAGCCCCGUACAGUUGGACACCAAGCCUUUGUAAAGCUCCUUCGACGAGUCGAGUAGUUUGGGAAUGCUGCUCAAAAUGGGAGGUAUAUUUCUUCUAAAGCUAAAUACCGGCCAGAGACCGAUAGCGCACAAGUAGAGUGAUCGAAAGAUGAAAAGCACUUUGAAAAGAGGGUUAAACAGCACGUGAAAUUGUUAAAAGGGAAGCGCUUGUGACCAGACUUGCGUCCGGUGAAUCACCCAGCUCUCGCGGCUGGGGCACUUCGCCGGCUCAGGCCAGCAUCAGCUCGCUGUCGGGGACAAAAGCUUCAGGAACGUAGCUCUCUUCGGGGAGUGUUAUAGCCUGUUGCAUAAUACCCUUCGGCGGGCUGAGGUACGCGCUCCGCAAGGAUGCUGGCAUAAUGGUCAUCAGCGACCCGUCUGAAAAACACGGA